rnacentral:rRNA from 1 species
AGCGUUGAAUUGAAGCCCGAGUAAACGGCGGCCGUAACUAUAACGGUCCUAAGGUAGCGAAAUUCCUUGUCGGUUAAAUACCGACCUGCAUGAAUGGCGUAACGAGAUGGGAGCUGUCUCAACCAGAGAUUCAGUGAAAUUGUAGUGGAGGUGAAAAUUCCUCCUACCCGCGGCAAGACGGAAAGACCCCGUGGACCUUUACUACAACUU